GCCGGUGUGGCGGAAUGGCAGACGCGUUCGACUCAAAAUCGAAUGGAGAGAUCCGUGGAGGUUCGAGUCCUCUCACCGGUA
rnacentral:tRNA from 1 species